GUGGCUCACAGCUAUCUGUAACUCCAGUUGCAGGAGAUCUGAUGCCCUCCUCUGAUCUCUUUUAGUACCAUAUGUGUUGCACAUAUAUAUUCAGACAAAACAUUCAUACCCAUUUCAAAAAGUCUAAGGAAGGGGGAUGGAGACAUGGCUCAGUGGUUAAGACCACUAAUUGCUCUUCCAUAGGACCUGGGUUCAAUUCUCAAUACCCAUAUGGUGGCUUACAUCUGUCUGUAAUUCUAGUUCCAGGGCUUCUGACACCCUCACACAGACAUGCAUACAGAUACAACAUCAAUUAACAUAAAAACAAUAAUGAUAAUAAAAAUAAAGUAAUUUUUAAAAAGUCUAAAGAAAAGAAAAAA
rnacentral:lncRNA from 1 species